UAUUAACUAUUGUAAGACCCCCUUUCGGGGACCCCCACUCUAGUCUCGGGAGUGUGAGAGCACCCAAAGAAACACGAGGACCC
rnacentral:pre_miRNA from 7 species